GACGAACGCUGGCGGCGUGCUUAACACAUGCAAGUCGAACGGAAAGGCCCUGCUUUUGUGGGGUGCUCGAGUGGCGAACGGGUGAGUAACACGUGAGUAACCUGCCCUUGACUUUGGGAUAACUUCAGGAAACUGGGGCUAAUACCGGAUAGGAGCUCCUGCUGCAUGGUGGGGGUUGGAAAGUUUCGGCGGUUGGGGAUGGACUCGCGGCUUAUCAGCUUGUUGGUGGGGUAGUGGCUUACCAAGGCUUUGACGGGUAGCCGGCCUGAGAGGGUGACCGGCCACAUUGGGACUGAGAUACGGCCCAGACUCCUACGGGAGGCAGCAGUGGGGAAUAUUGCACAAUGGGCGGAAGCCUGAUGCAGCAACGCCGCGUGCGGGAUGACGGCCUUCGGGUUGUAAACCGCUUUCGCCUGUGACGAAGCGUGAGUGACGGUAAUGGGUAAAGAAGCACCGGCUAACUACGUGCCAGCAGCCGCGGUGAUACGUAGGGUGCGAGCGUUGUCCGGAUUUAUUGGGCGUAAAGGGCUCGUAGGUGGUUGAUCGCGUCGGAAGUGUAAUCUUGGGGCUUAACCCUGAGCGUGCUUUCGAUACGGGUUGACUUGAGGAAGGUAGGGGAGAAUGGAAUUCCUGGUGGAGCGGUGGAAUGCGCAGAUAUCAUGAGGAACACCAGUGGCGAAGGCGGUUCUCUGGGCCUUUCCUGACGCUGAGGAGCGAAAGCGUGGGGAGCGAACAGGCUUAGAUACCCUGGUAGUCCACGCUGUAAACGGUGGGUACUAGGUGUGGGGUCCAUUCCACGGGUUCCGUGCCGUAGCUAACGCUUUAAGUACCCCGCCUGGGGAGUACGGCCGCAAGGCUAAAACUCAAAGGAAUUGACGGGGCCCCGCACAAGCGGCGGAGCAUGCGGAUUAAUUCGAUGCAACGCGUAGAACCUUACCUGGGUUUGACAUGGAUCGGGAGCGCUCAGAGAUGGGUGUGCCUCUUUUGGGGUCGGUUCACAGGUGGUGCAUGGCUGUCGUCAGCUCGUGUCGUGAGAUGUUGGGUUAAGUCCCGCAACGAGCGCAACCCUUGUUCACUGUUGCCAGCACGUUAUGGUGGGGACUCAGUGGAGACCGCCGGGGUCAACUCGGAGGAAGGUGGGGAUGACGUCAAGUCAUCAUGCCCCUUAUGUCCAGGGCUUCACGCAUGCUACAAUGGCUGGUACAGAGAGUGGCGAGCCUGUGAGGGUGAGCGAAUCUCGGAAAGCCGGUCUCAGUUCGGAUUGGGGUCUGCAACUCGACCUCAUGAAGUCGGAGUCGCUAGUAAUCGCAGAUCAGCAACGCUGCGGUGAAUACGUUCCCGGG
rnacentral:rRNA from 1 species